CACGUAGGAAUCGAGCGUUAUCCGAAUUUACUGGGCGUAAAGCGCGUGUAGGUGGUUCGAUAAGUUGGAUGUGAAAGCUCCUGGCUCAACUAGGAGAGGCCGUUCAAUACUGUCGGGCUGGAGAGCGGUAGAGGGAGGUGGAAUUCCCGGUGUAGUGGUGAAAUGCGUAGAUAUCGGGAGGAACACCAGUGGCGAAGGCGGCCUCCUGGACCGUUUCUGACACUGAGACGCGAAAGCUAGGGGAG
rnacentral:rRNA from 1 species